GACUCCGUGGCACAAUGGUACGCGUCUGACUCCAGAUCAGAAGGUUGAGUGUUCAAAUCACGUCGGGAUCA
rnacentral:tRNA from 1 species